CAUCGUGAGGUGGAAUCUGAAGGAAGGUGUACGCAAAUCUCUGACCCGACGAACAGAAAUCUCGUUAGGCUGAAAACAAGGGUAAGUCUGCUACACAAGACAAAGCCCAAUAACUGCACGGAAGUGUUUGCAGUAAACGAGGCGGGGGCAUGGAGAGAAAGAACG
rnacentral:ncRNA from 1 species